GCGGGGCGAUGGGUGCUUGUCAGGAGUGUGCUCUCGGCGCUCCCAAUGUUCGCGCUCGCUGUGCUGUGUGCCCCGAGAAAAUUCUUCAAGUACAUAGGCAAGGUGCGUCGAAGGUUCCUAUGGUCGCAGGAGAAGGAGAUUUCAGGAGGAAAAUGCAAUGUCAGAUGGUGAGUCGUCGCACCUCCGGUGGACUGCGGCGGCCUUGGCAUCCCUGACCUUGAGCGGUUCGCACAUGCACUCAGGUUGCACUGGCUAUGGCUCGCCUGGAAGCACCCGGAUAGGCCAUGGGUUGGGCUCGACAUGCCGUGUGACAACAAAGAUCAUGCUCUCCUUACCUCAGCCACUUCAGUCACCAUCUAG
rnacentral:rRNA from 1 species